rnacentral:rRNA from 1 species
AAUCGAAGCAGUGAACUUAAGCCCCAGUAAACGGCGGCCGUAACUAUAACGGUCCUAAGGUAGCGAAAUUCCUUGUCGGGUAAGUUCCGACCCGCACGAAAGGCGUAACGAUUUGGGCACUGUCUCAACAACAGACUCGGUGAAAUUGUAAUUCCGGUGAAGAUGCCGGAUACCUGCGACAGGACGGAAAGACCCCAUGGAGCUUUACUGUAGCUUGACAUUGGGUCUUGGUACUACAUGUACAGGAUAGGUGGGAGGCUUUGAAACCAGGACGCCAGUUUUGGCGGAGCCAUCCUUGGGAUACCACCCUUGUAGUACUGGGACUCUAACCAUAGGCCAUGAAUCUGGUCUUGGGACACUGUCAGGUGGGCAGUUUGACUGGGGCGGUCGCCUCCCAAAAGGUAACGGAGGCGCUCAAAGGUUCUCUCAGUACGGUCGGAAAUCGUACGUAGAGUGUAAAGGCAAAAGAGAGCUUGAUUGCAAGACAUACAGGUCGAGCAAGGAUGAAAAUCGGACUUAGUGAUCCGGUGGUUCUGCGUGGAAGGGCCAUCGCUCAACGGAUAAAAGCUACCCUGGGGAUAACAGGCUUAUCUCCCCCAAGAGUCCACAUCGACGGGGAGGUUUGGCACCUCGAUGUCGGCUCAUCACAUCCUGGGGCUGUAGUAGGUCCCAAGGGUUGGGCUGUUCGCCCAUUAAAGUGGUACGCGAGCUGGGUUCAGAACGUCGUGAGACAGUUCGGUCCCUAUCCGUCGCAGGCGUAGGAAAUUUGAGAAGACCUGUCCUUAGUACGAGAGGACCGGGAUGGACGUACCUCUGGUGUACCAGUUGUCCUGCCAAGGGCAUGGCUGGGUAGCUAUGUACGGAAUGGAUAAGCGCUGAAAGCAUCUAAGCGCGAAGCCAACUUCAAGAUAAGAUUUCCCACCGCAAGGGUAAGACCCCAGAAAGACUAUCUGGUUGAUAGGUCGAAGGUGUAAGUGCAGCAAUGUAUUUAGCUUAUCGAUACUAAUAGGUCGAGGACUUGACCAAU